GCCCUCGUAGCUCAGGGGAUAGAGCGUCUGCCUCCGGAGCAGAAAGCCGCAGGUUCGAAUCCUGUCGAGGGCGCCA
rnacentral:tRNA from 1 species